GUUACAUACGUAACUAUGUAUGUUUGUAUGUGGCAUGUGCGUGUUAUAAAGCGACUAAUCUACAUGUGUAUGGCUAACAACAAAAGCAACAACAUCACCAACGAAAUCCAUUGCUGUAGCAAAAUUACGCCAGCUGUUUGACGUUUCGAUAAAUUCGAGCAGAAUGGAAACGAGCCAUUUUCAUUUUUGUCUUUAUAUUUUUAUAAUAUUUUUUUGUUUUUUUUUUUAAACAAAUUUGCUGCCAUAAUUUGCUGCACAGCCGCCUUUCGAUCGCUCGGCCAACUUAAAUGCUGGGAGCACUACUGUCGCUUCAGCUAUCAAUCGCCCUAUUGAUCGUCGUCAUGUCGCCCUCAUUUGCUACCGAGACGCUUCUUUAUUUCAUCUGAUUGCGCACAACCUUGGCUGCAGGGUGGGAGGGCGUAUAGAAUCACAGACAGGGCAUGGUCGCAAUCCACCAUCAAAGCAACAACAGCAAUAAGUACGUACAGUGUAACGUCGUCGAAUCUUACACUGCGGAAUGCUGGGUAGCAGAAUCGAAAGUGGAAUUUUGUAAGUCUGAACUUCUGAUCCUGCUUGUUUUCACUGCAACAAUAAAGAUGGUCACAGUCGCAGGGAGACACUGGUUGGACUUCGUCGAAAAUGGUUUUAAAACUCAAAAAUAUGUUUCAAAAUUUAUAUCCACAAAAAUUUCGACAAAGAAUCUCAGGACCACAUACAGAUAUGAGGUUACAUAUAUUAAAUAAAAGUGGUUGGUAGCUCAGCUACAGUUAUAAAAGCUUAGUUGGUUUGGUCUACAAGCUCUUAAAGUACUCCGCUGAGAUUUAAAACAAAAAAGCAUUUAAGUCUAAGUAUGUCCAAAGCCGGUUAUUUGCUCGAAAGUAAAUGAUGAGUAAUCCACUCUGGGUUAACCUAAUUUAUACUUAGCAAAUGGGUAGUCUGAGUAAACUGUUUCAAUAUAGUCUCAACAUGUGCUAAAAAUACAACAAUGUAAUUAAAAAGCCCAAAUUGGAAAAUAAAAGAAACUUUCAUUCACCAAUUCUUUCGAUGACGAAAGGAGUGCUUAGGACUUCGGUUUUAAUGCUGACACCCACUUGAAAUAUUUUUAGGUGACGUGAUGGACGAUAGACCUUUUAUCAUCUCCUAUAAUCCUAUAUGUAAAUGGCAUCUUGAGAGUACUUGAUCCCGAAAGUUUUUUCAUGACAGAAAUACAAUAUGCCUACCGAGAACCGAUAACACGUGUUAACGUUUCUCAGCUGACUAUGCACAACCACUUCAUCCAAUAAAUUCUACCCAGGAUGAAUUCGGUUUAAUAGUAACUACAGAGAGCUGUCAGUAAUCUGAUCUGGAAAAAGAGUUCCCAUACUUGUCCGAAAUACAAUUGAAGGUUUGUUCAUUUCACUUCCACUAAAAGCGGCAUACCAUUUAAUGG